GCACCGGAUGGGAGUUCUAUCGCAGUGACCCAUUGCCGUUUCUCGAAGAAAAGCGAUUGCAGACUAACGGACGGUGC
rnacentral:ncRNA from 1 species